UGACCUGAAAUCGAGCAGGACUACCCCCUGAACUUAA
rnacentral:rRNA from 1 species